AUUGAACGCUGGCGGCAGGCCUAACACAUGCAAGUCGAGCGGAUGAAGGGAGCUUGCUCCUGGCUUCAGCGGCGGACGGGUGAGUAAUGCCUAGGAAUCUGCCUGGCAGUGGGGGAUAACGUCCGGAAACGGGCGCUAAUACCGCAUACGUCCUGAGGGAGAAAGUGGGGGAUCUUCGGACCUCACGCUAUCAGAUGAGCCUAGGUCGGAUUAGCUAGUUGGUGGGGUAAAGGCCUACCAAGGCGACGAUCCGUAACUGGUCUGAGAGGAUGAUCAGUCACACUGGAACUGAGACACGGUCCAGACUCCUACGGGAGGCAGCAGUGGGGAAUAUUGGACAAUGGGCGAAAGCCUGAUCCAGACAUGCCGCGUGUGUGAAGAAGGUCUUCGGAUUGUAAAGCACUUUAAGUUGGGAGGAAGGGCAGUAAGUUAAUACCUUGCUGUUUUGACGUUACCAACAGAAUAAGCACCGGCUAACUUCGUG
rnacentral:rRNA from 1 species